UCCGGUUUCGGCCAUGACACCUGACAGAACAUGGCGACAGUGCGUGUGUGUUAGCGCGUACGUGUUGUGUUGCUCGUGUAUUUUAUUUUGCAAUUGCAAAUAUAAAAUAGCAAUGCCGAACAAGUGCUGCAUAAAAAAUUGUAACAAUACAAAUAACAAAGGGUAUCAUUUAUUUCAAUUUCCGAUGAAGUUUCCUGAUAUGUUACAAAUAUGGAUGAACGCAAUCGGAAGAGAUUUUAUACCAAAAAAGAGUAUUGCAAUUCAAAGCUGCUAUGAAAAGUUUAUUGGUUAAAACUUCGAUUACAGCGUCAGCGACAGCUAAUUGUGUCACAUUUGACUCAGACAACGAUGUACAAUUUAAAUUGAGAUGGGCGCAGAAAAAAAUGUGCAAAAUUGGCAUGACAACAUUAAUAGCGCAGACUGCGAUAUAUAUAAUGAUGGUUUGUUUGAUGACGAUCAAGAUGGAGAACUAUAUCAUAGUAUCCCUGGGAAUGAAAGUAGUUUUCUGAAAGAUAACAUUUUAUAUUAUAUAGCGGGUUUCAUAGUUAAAACAAUGAUUCGUACAUUAACAUGUAAAAGCUGCAUUGCCAACAUUAUAAGAAAAGUCAAUGAUAAGAAACAUAAUAGUUUGCCGUACACCAUAUUCGUAGACAUAAAACAGAAGGGAGGUUUAAUAUACGCAUCGAAUGAUGUGUACAAAAUUGUCUGUGCCACAGACACAGAGUUUCGUCAAUCAUUAACAAACAGUCAAAAUAAGCUACCAAAUAAAGAUGCAUAUCGUAAAAUCAUUUGUCGCAUUACACGCAGAUAUGCAUUGGACAUAAAUGUAUUUCCUACUAAUAAAGAUUGUUACG